rnacentral:lncRNA from 1 species
ACUCACACCAAGAUAGCAGUAAACGUAACACUAAUAGGACAAACUGAACAGUAACCGUCAUUUUGAAAAAUUGCGCCAGUGCGUAGAACGGUACACCGAAUUCCGAUUCUUUAAAGAUAAAAUUGUUUCCGGGUAGUAAUAGAACCGUGAACACCCAAUAACAUCAAUGACGAUUAAUUGUUCAAACAAACAUAUAGACGAAAAACAACAUAAAACUUCGAGUCCUUGAUAAAGGUCCAAUAAGGACCGAAACGUUGGAGAAAGAAACCAUACAGUUGUUUUAAAUUGUUAAAAAAGACUGAAAAGCCAGAAAAUUUU